rnacentral:rRNA from 1 species
CUGCGAAAAGCGUCGGUAAGGUGAUAUGAACCGUUAUAGCCGGCGAUGUCCGAAUGGGGAAACCCAGUGCAAUUCGUUGCACUAUCGUUAACUGAAUACAUAGGUUAACGAGGCGAACCGGGGGAACUGAAACAUCUAAGUACCCCGAGGAAAAGAAAUCAACCGAGAUUCCCCCAGUAGCGGCGAGCGAACGGGGAGCAGCCCAGAGUCUGAAUCAGCUUGUGUGUUAGUGGAACGGUCUGGAAAGUCCGACGGUACAGGGUGAUAGUCCCGUACACCAAAAUGCACAGG